CCUACGGGAGGCAGCAGUGGGGAAUAUUGGGCAAUGGGCGCAAGCCUGACCCAGCAACGCCGCGUGAAGGAAGACGGCUCUCGGGUUGUAAACUUCUUUUUUCAGGGACGAAGCAAGUGACGGUACCUGAUGAAUAAGCCACGGCUAACUACGUGCCAGCAGCCGCGGGAAUACGUAGGUGGCAAGCGUUAUCCGGAUUUACGGGGUGUAAAGGGCGUGUAGGCGGGAAGGCAAGUCAGAGGUGAAAACCAGGGGCUCAACCUGUGGCCUGCAUUUGAAACUGUUUUUCUUGAGUACUGGAGAGGCAGGCGGAAUGCCUAGUGUAGCGGUGAAAUGCGUAGAUAUUAGGAGGAACACCAGUGGCGAAGGCAGUCUGCUGGACAGCAACUGACGCUGAGGCGCGAAAGCGUGGGGAGCAAACAGGAUUAGAUACCCUUGUAGUC
rnacentral:rRNA from 1 species